GACGAACGCUGGCGGCGUGUCUAAUACAUGCAAGUUGAGCGCUGAAGGUUGGUACUUGUACCUACUGGAUGAGCAGCGAACGGGUGAGUAACGCGUUGGGAAUCUGCCUUUUAGCGGGGGACAACAUUUGGAAACGAAUGCUAAUACCGCAUAAAAACUUUAAACACAAGUUUUUAGUUUGAAAGAUGCAAUUGCAUCACUCAAAGAUGAUCCCGCGUUGUAUUAGCUAGUUGGUGAGGUAAAGGCUCACCAAGGCGAUGAUACAUAGCCGACCUGAGAGGGUGAUCGGCCACAUUGGGACUGAGACACGGCCCAAACCCCUACGGGAGGCAGCAGUAGGGAAUCUUCGGCAAUAGACGAAAGUCUGACCGAGCAACGCCGCGUGAGUGAAGAAGGUUUUCGGAUCGUAAAACUCUGUUGGUAGAGAAGAACGUUGGUGAGAGUGGAAAGCUCAUCAAGUGACGGUAACUACCCAGAAAGGGACGGCUAACUACGUG
rnacentral:rRNA from 1 species